ensembl:lncRNA
GUAAGUUUUGGAAACCAGUAAAUAACAUGGGGUGUUGUAGUGGUGUGAGUUAAGCGCUGACAAUGGCAGUGGGCUGAGAUUUCGGUACUGCUGCAGAUGGUGGAUGGAGGAAGGAGGUGGGCACCAGGAUGUUUGCAUUUUUUUUUUGUUUAAACUGCUGCAGGUUGCACAGUUCAUUUGCAAUUGAAAUACCAAAGACAACACGGCCCCAGCAAUACAGUCAUUUUUGACUGUGGCACUGAAAGACAGGGAUAUUGUAAUUUCAGCGAGUGUUAUUCACAGCCUCUUAGUUAUCAAAAGAACCAUGCUAUUUAAAGGUAACUAAUGGAUGAAAUAUGAAUAAAGAUUAAACUACAAAGGCUAAAAGGGAUUAUUUAGAGCACUUCCAUAAUACGGAGCCCUGACAUUAAUAUUUAGACACUCGUGAACACUUACAUAACGGCAGCUUAUUUUUAAUGGUCUUCUAUCUUGCUUUGUUAACAAGCUGACAAAAUGUAAUUUAGGACUAUAAGCUAUGAGCCCCACAUGGAGAAGAAAAGCCUGUAAUUCACAUCAUGCUCUGGCUUUUAAGACUUAGGAGACGGUUGUGAUUGUAUGGCAGAAUGCAGCUUGCAGGGCAAUAUCCAUUUACAUGCCAUUUGAAACCUUCAGGCUAAGCGUAGCACUGCAGAGUGCAUCAUAAAAAACGGAAGAAAAGAAGCCAGUUUAGUUACAAUUGGACUGACAUGAUGGCAAAUUAAUUCAUAAGGUAAGAGGAAGAAAAGGAUCUGCAGCUCCAUCAGCGUGGCUGCAUACCCACUGAUGCUUGCGGGUUGUAAGCUUUGCUUUGCAUCACUGAUUCAUCACCCCUGAUUUCCCGUCAUUCCCUCAGUAUAAAGCUGAAGAAAGGGGGCAAUGCAUGGGGUCGGUGUUUCCCAGGCAAAUAGAAAAAGGCGAGAGGAGCCAACAUAAAAAAAAAGCUGGUGUUGUGUGCACUAGGAAAUCAAGGUUGUUAGUUAACAUUUAUUUUCUCCUCAUCCAGCCUGAAGUUAAUCAUUAUUAAGCCUGUUUUGAGAAAAUCAGGGCUAGGGUUGACCUGCAUUAUGGGUGGAUGCCACCAGCAAUUAGUCUGGGCUGUACCCUCCACAUCUUUUGCCCACUAUCUUCCUCCUUAUGUGUUGAGAUGGGUGCAGGACCUCCUUCUCCUCCUCAGUUCACUUCACAGGUGUGCUCAGGAAGGAGAGAAUGAAUGGAUACGGUCAGACCCGCGUUUUGUGUGGAAGCAAAGAAGCACGAGGAAACUGUCUCAAGUUGUACUAAGGAAGAUUUACAUUGGACAUUAGGAAGAAUUUCUUCAUAGUGGUCAAACAAUGGAAUGGGCUGUCCAAGGAAAUGAUGGGGUCCCCCUCCCCAGAGUUGUUUAUGAGAAAUGUGGAUGUGGCACGAAGGGACGUUGUUUAGUAAAAGGUCUCAGUAUAUCAGGUUGAUAGUUGGAUUUGGUGACCUUGAAGUUGUUUUCCAACCUAGAUGAUUCCCUGAUUCUGUGAUUCUGUUUAAAUGCUGAGGUUACACAUAAACAAGGCCGGGUGUCCCAGCUGGCUGGCAGCCUCUAUUUCAGGGGGAAGAGGCAAUGGGAUGGCUGGGGAAGGUGAAAUGUUGAAAAUGUGUGUUCUGAAAGCAGACUAGUAAUGAUCCUUGAGAAGAUAUUCAUUUGUGUCUAAUGUGGCUAAGGAAAAGAAGGAAGAAGAGAAACCUGAGCAAACAAAUACAUUGUGGACAGCCCAGCAGGACUGAGUUUUACAGCCAGCUCUGCUGCCCAGGAGCAUCACUUUCCUCAGCUCAUUCCAGGACGCCUGCAGCACUCUGACCCCAGCCUGACUUGUGACUGCUCAGCCCACCAGCAAGUCUGGGGGAGUGGAGAGGAGAUGAUGGGUCCUAUCUCCAGUCUGGCCAGAGGACACCUCAAGCAGUCUCAGGCUCUCUGAAGCCACAGGGCCACACCACAUCCUUCUUCCCAAAACUGCAAAUCCCAAGGGGGCUGAUAACUAGGAAAAUCCAGAGUAAAAUAUGUAGAAACUUCUUACAGAGCUUUCCCUUCAUCUGCAUUUGUAGAAGGAGUGACCAAACUCUCAAGGUUGCUAGCCUAAAGUUUGACAUCCAUUAACAAUAUACAUUUGUUUUCAACAUCUACAUAAACAGGAUCCUGUGUACCCCGUCUCCUUUAGAGAGAAAAAUAAAAAUAAACAAAUAUCAUGUGUGUAUCCAGGAACCUCACACAGAAUGCUUGCAAAAUUAUAUGUGCCCUCUGCCUGUAAAACUCUGCUGUGCUCAGGUGUUUGUAGCAUUUGGGCCUUUGUGAGAGAAAACAAGAGAAACUCAUUGACCUCAGUAUGUCUUGGGACAAAGAUUCCUGAAGAAUUAUUGUAUAGACAAGG